GAUGAACGCUGGCGGCGUGCCUAAUACAUGCAAGUCGAGCGAAUGGAUUAAGAGCUUGCUCUUAUGAAGUUAGCGGCGGACGGGUGAGUAACACGUGGGUAACCUGCCCAUAAGACUGGGAUAACUCCGGGAAACCGGGGCUAAUACCGGAUAACAUUUUGAACCGCAUGGUUCGAAAUUGAAAGGCGGCUUCGGCUGUCACUUAUGGAUGGACCCGCGUCGCAUUAGCUAGUUGGUGAGGUAACGGCUCACCAAGGCAACGAUGCGUAGCCGACCGGGGAGGGUGAUCGGCCACACUGGGACUGAGAAACGGCCCAGACUCCUACGGGAGGCAGCAGUAGGGAAUCUUCCGCAAUGGACGAAAGUCGGACGGAGCAACGCUGCGUGAGUGAUGAAGGCUUUCGGGUCGUAAAACUCUGUUGUUAGGGAAGAACAAGUGCUAGUUGAAUAAGCUGGCACCUUGACGGUACCUAACCAGAAAGCCACGGCUAACUACGUGCCAGCCGCCGCGGUAA
rnacentral:rRNA from 1 species